AGUGGCGGACGGGUGAGUAACGCGUGAGAAUCUGCCUUCAGGUCGGGGACAACAGUUGGAAACGACUGCUAAUACCCGAUGUGCAGCAAUGUGAAAGAUUUAUUGCCUGAAGAUGAGCUCGCGUCUGAUUAGCUAGUAGGUGUGGUAAUGGCGCACCUAGGCGACGAUCAGUAACUGGUCUGAGAGGAUGACCAGUCACACUGGGACUGAGACACGGCCCAGACUCCUACGGGAGGCAGCAGUGGGGAAUUUUCCGCAAUGGGCGAAAGCCUGACGGAGCAAUACCGCGUGAGGGACGACGGCUUUUGGGUUGUAAACCUCUUUUCCCUGGGAAGAAGAUCUGACGGUACCAGGGGAAUCAGCAUCGGCUAACUUCGUGCCAGCAGCCGCGGUAAUACGAGGGAUGCAAGCGUUAUCCGGAAUUAUUGGGCGUAAAGCGUCCGCAGGUGGCUCUGUAAGUCUGUCGUUAAAGAAUGGAGCUUAACUCCAUACAGGCGAUGGAAACUACAAGGCUAGAGUUUGGUAGGGGUCACGGGAAUUCUUAGUGUAGCGGUGAAGUGCGUAGAUAUUAAGAAGAACACCAGCGGCGAAAGCGCGUGACUGGGCCAGUACUGACACUCAUGGACGAAAGCUAGGGGAGCGAAAGGGAUUAGAUACCCCUGUAGUCCUAGCCGUAAACGAUGAUAACUAGGUGUUGCUC
rnacentral:rRNA from 1 species